UGACGGCGUACCUUUUGUAUAAUGGGUCAUCGACUUGGUCUAUCUAGCAAGCUUAAGCCGUUAGGUGUAGGCGCAGCGAAAGCGAGUCUUAAUAGGGCGUCGAGUUAGAUGGAUCAGACCCGAAACCGAGUGAUCUAGGCAUGACCAGGAUGAAGGUACGGUAACACGUACUGGAGGUCCGAACCCACACCUGUUGAAAAAGGUCGGGAUGAGUUGUGCCUAGGGGUGAAAGGCCAAUCAAACUCGGAGAUAGCUGGUUCUCUGCGAAAUCUAUUUAGGUAGAGC
rnacentral:rRNA from 14 species